CACUGAUCUUCGUAUGGUUGCCUUCACUCUUCAAGUGCUAUUGGAGUGCUAUUGGAUCCACUCCUCAAGAGUUGGCUAGACAUCUCACCUUCUUUUUACAACUGUAUAUUGGAAAAACUAACCAUCAUAUUAAGAAGUCUAUGCACUUUAUUGAAAAAUUGAAGGAGAUUACUGUCAGCCCAAGUAAUGUUCUUGUCAGUUUUGAUUUGGUAUCCCUGUUCACCAUGGUUCUGAUUAACGAAGCUCUUUCUUAUGUGGCUGAUAAGUUUCCCACUGUUACGGUAUCUUUGUUUUGACAUUCCCUAUCCAUGAUUAUUUUCAGUAUAAUUAUGAGUUCUGUGAGCGGAUUGAAGGAGUGACAAUGGAAAGCCCUCUAAGUCCAGUUGCUAAUCUUUUUAUGGAAUUUUUUGAACAGCAGGCGCUGCAGUCAGCCAAUAAAAGUCCUCUGAAGUGGUAUUGAUGUUGUGGAUGAUGCUUUUGUGAUAUCACAAUGAAGAGGAAUUGAAUGGUUUCUUGGUGCAUUUAAAUAGUGUCAGAGAGCAAUGGACAGCUUAAUUUUUUGAAUGUUUCAGUAAUUAAAAGGGCGAUGGACCUUAGGUCAUAAAGUAUAUAGGAAAGAUACACGUACCGACCAUUACCUCCAUAACGAUUUGAACCUUCAUCCCAGGCAGAAGAGAGGUGUUAUUAAAACUUUGAUGGACAAGGCUAUAAAAUCUGUGAGCCAGUUUAUUUGCAUGAGAAACUAGAUCAUUUGCAAACAGCUUGGAAGAAAAAUGGAUACACUGAUAAUGAGAUAGGCUGAGCACUCCAUCGCAGAAGAAAAGUGUCCAAAAACAUGGAACAACAACAACAACAACAACAACAACAGCAGCAGCAGCAGCAGCAGCAGCAGCAACCAUCGACUGGGAAAAUUUUUCUUCCAUUUAUCCACAAUACUAUGGACCGUAUUGGGAAAGUUAUGGCCCAAGUUUUCGAAGUUGAAACAAUCUUUAGACACACCAAGAAGAUUUAUGAACACCACAAUAAUUUUAACAGAAAAGAAGAAGCCUUAAAGUUAGAUAAGAUAUGGCUGCCAACUUUGACUGUCAGAGAUAGUUUCACUGGUGACAGCAUGUGACAAGUGAUGGUACCCUCUAUGCACUCUACAUAAACGGGACCUCUGCAGUCCACAGUCCAGGAGCCAGUUGUUGACUCACCUUGGAAGAUGUUGCCUGCAGCUAGCAACGAAACAUCAGGAAGAAUUUCUACUGCUCAACCAUGGCCUCUUAGCCCAGAAGUUUUAAUUAAUUAGAGAAUCUACUGUCCUGGCCACCUUUUGGUGAAACUUUAAAUAUAUUGAUGCAAUAACGCUGGUGCUAGCAGACGAGACCAGAGCAGUUGAUUUGGUUUAAUUUUUUACUUGUGAGUUUAGUUUUUCAUCCUCUCUGUGUCAUACAGCACAUUAGCCUCAUUGGCUGCGUGAGGGAUUGGAGGGAUGCCCCAAUCACCUGCUCCGAACCGAGGGUACUACAGCUGCCCUUGCUCAGUGGUCCAUCCUAGCUCAUGCCCUUUUCACCUUUUUAAAUCAUGUUAUUCUUUCACAUCUAUUGUCGGUUGACAGACUUGACGUAAUUGUUCUCUUUCCUGAGAUUUUAUCUUGUCCAUGUAGCUAGUUUACUUGUGGUUAUAGAGGGUAUGGCAUCACCAUUUGGGUGCAGAGGACUUGUUUCUAGCUGCAUAAUGUGUCACUGGGUCUCCAGCUGCUUUCUAGGCAGGGCAACUCUUCCACCUUCACCCUUUUACCCCUCUCUCACUUCUACUUGUUUCUGACUCUUUAUUCUCAGAUACAGUUGAGCCCAUUGUGAUUUGUCUUUUGUGUCCUUCCUCUCUGAUUCCCAGAUUGUCACACAAAGGAUUAAGGGAGUGGUGACCUCACGGUUUGGUUCCUUUAACCCCACCCACCCAUCCAUCCAUCCAUCCACACAUCUAUCCAUCCAUCCAUCCAUCCAUCAACCUUAACACUAUUUGCUGUAAGUAGCAGCCUUGAAUUAAAGAUAUGGUGAAGUUAUAUGAAGUUAUGGUUGAGAUACCACAAAUGAAGAUCGUGUGAAUAUGAGUUCACAGUUCACUGGUACAUGACUGCUUGGUGAUGAAACAUGUUUCUUACACAUUACGUUGGCAGCAAGUAUGACAAACAUUCAUCAAGAUCUACAUGUUGCUUCCUGUCAAGCUGGAUGUUUUGAGGGCACAUAGUGUACCAGUAUCAUUUUAGCUCCUAUCGAUUCCAUCCUCAUAAUGUGUGCAGGAAGAAUGAUUUUUGUCUUCUUCUGUAUAAGUACAAAUUUUCCUGGUAUUACUGUCGUGGAUAUUAUCUGAACUGUAUGUGGAAGAAGGUAGUUUGGCAAAUUCAAUUAUUUUGUGUUGUUUUCCAAAUAUCACAGAUUGUUGUUUCACCAACAUUGUAAAUCAGUGCCAGAUUCUACUUAUCAGUGUUGCCUUCUUCAAGUUUGUGUGUUAUUUACAGUUUCUGCUGUAUCAUGAUAACAACACAUUUUUGCUUUUAAGACUGUGUGUAGCAAUAACAGAAACCAAAUGACUACAGUAUCCACCGCAACAGUACAGUCCAGCACUUGAUGUGUUUGAACAGCACAUCGUUUACUACACUCGUGUUGUAACAUGACAUUAUCCUUCCAGGUAGAAGAAAAAUUUUCAGCAUCCAGCAGCUAAAAAAAAAAAGGAAGGAAGAAAGUUGGGAGAAAUAGGCCACAUAUAAUCCGCUCGCAGCUAACAGCCAGAUGCUAACUGUUCCACACAUACAAAGCUGGGCUGCUCCAGACAGCAAUUGGAAUCAGCAGUAUUCAUGCCCUAAUUGCUUCAAAGUAUAUCGCUGGAUGAUCUCAUUGCGCAGACAUAUGAGAUUAGAAUGUGGAAAAGAGGGAAACCUUUGUUGCUCCAUCUGCAGUCGUCGCUUCAAGCAUAAGCAUCACCUUGUUAAUCACUUAGGUGUUCACAGACGCAGGGAUUACAUGGCCAGUGGAAGCAGUUAACUGGUCUGAAAAUUGUGUGGAGGGCUCUGAUGAAAGAAUUGGUUUAGAGGCAAGAUUUGUGUGCAAUAACUGCGGGAAAUAUUAUCACCUGAAUACUUCUCUCCAACGCCAUCUGCGUGUAGAAUGUGGACAAGAAGGAAGACAUGCAUGUUUCUCAUGUGGUCGCAAAUUUAAGCAUAGGUUUACUCUCGCAACGCAUGUAAGAAGAAACAUCUGUGACAGAUUCAGGAACUUACAGUGAAAUAAGAGCAAUUUUGACUGUAAAAGGAUUUUACAGUGUGAUUGCAAGCAUUUCAAUAAAUCAAUAUCGCAUAUGAGGCAUUUUGUUGAGUCAGUUUGUGUGUUAUUUUCGUAGUUAAGCACAUCAUUUUACUUACCAUUGAU